rnacentral:rRNA from 1 species
UAGGGAAUUUUCGUCAAUGGGCGCAAGCCUGAAACGAGCAAUGCCGCGUGAACGAGGAAGGUCUUCGGAUCGUAAAGUUCUGUUGAAGGGGAAAAAGAGCGGAGAGAGGAAAUGGUCUCCGAUUGAUAUUACCCUUCGAGGAAGUCACGGCUAACUACGUGCC